GGGUUGUGAGGUUAAGCGACUAAGCGUACACGGUGGAUGCCCUGGCAGUCAGAGGCGAUGAAGGACGUGCUAAUCUGCGAUAAGCGUCGGUAAGGUGAUAUGAACCGUUAUAACCGGCGAUUUCCGAAUGGGGAAACCCAGUGUGAUUCGUCACACUAUCAUUAACUGAAUCCAUAGGUUAAUGAGGCGAACCGGGGGAACUGAAACAUCUAAGUACCCCGAGGAAAAGAAAUCAACCGAGAUUCCCCCAGUAGCGGCGAGCGAACGGGGAGCAGCCCAGAGCCUGAAUCAGUGUGUGUGUUAGUGGAAGCGUCUGGAAAGGCGUGCGAUACAGGGUGACAGCCCCGUACACAAAAAUGCACAURCUGUGAGCUCGAUGAGUAGGGCGGGACACGUGGUAUCCUGUCUGAAUAUGGGGGGACCAUCCUCCAAGGCUAAAUACUCCUGACUGACCGAUAGUGAACCAGUACCGUGAGGGAAAGGCGAAAAGAACCCCGGCGAGGGGAGUGAAAAAGAACCUGAAACCGUGUACGUACAAGCAGUGGGAGCACGCUUAGGCGUGUGACUGCGUACCUUUUGUAUAAUGGGUCAGCGACUUAUAUUCUGUAGCAAGGUUAACCGAAUAGGGGAGCCGAAGGGAAACCGAGUCUUAACUGGGCGUUAAGUUGCAGGGUAUAGACCCGAAACCCGGUGAUCUAGCCAUGGGCAGGUUGAAGGUUGGGUAACACUAACUGGAGGACCGAACCGACUAAUGUUGAAAAAUUAGCGGAUGACUUGUGGCUGGGGGUGAAAGGCCAAUCAAACCGGGAGAUAGCUGGUUCUCCCCGAAAGCUAUUUAGGUAGCGCCUCGUGAAUUCAUCUCCGGGGGUAGAGCACUGUUUCGGCAAGGGGGUCAUCCCGACUUACCAACCCGAUGCAAACUGCGAAUACCGGAGAAUGUUAUCACGGGAGACACACGGCGGGUGCUAACGUCCGUCGUGAAGAGGGAAACAACCCAGACCGCCAGCUAAGGUCCCAAAGUCAUGGUUAAGUGGGAAACGAUGUGGGAAGGCCCAGACAGCCAGGAUGUUGGCUUAGAAGCAGCCAUCAUUUAAAGAAAGCGUAAUAGCUCACUGGUCGAGUCGGCCUGCGCGGAAGAUGUAACGGGGCUAAACCAUGCACCGAAGCUGCGGCAGCGACRCUKAUGYGUUGUUGGGUAGGGGAGCGUUCUGUAAGCCUGYGAAGGUGURCUGUGAGGYAUGCUGGAGGUAUCAGAAGUGCGAAUGCUGACAUAAGUAACGAUAAAGCGGGUGAAAAGCCCGCUCGCCGGAAGACCAAGGGUUCCUGUCCAACGUUAAUCGGGGCAGGGUGAGUCGACCCCUAAGGCGAGGCCGAAAGGCGUAGUCGAUGGGAAACAGGUUAAUAUUCCUGUACUUGGUGUUACUGCGAAGGGGGGACGGAGAAGGCUAUGUUGGCCGGGCGACGGUUGUCCCGGUUUAAGCGUGUAGGCUGGUUUUCCAGGCAAAUCCGGAAAAYYAAGGCUGAGGCGUGAUGACGAGGCACUACGGUGCUGAAGCAACAAAUGCCCUGCUUCCAGGAAAAGCCUCUAAGCAUCAGGUAACAUCAAAUCGUACCCCAAACCGACACAGGUGGUCAGGUAGAGAAUACCAAGGCGCUUGAGAGAACUCGGGUGAAGGAACUAGGCAAAAUGGUGCCGUAACUUCGGGAGAAGGCACGCUGAUAUGUAGGUGAAGUCCCUCGCGGAUGGAGCUGAAAUCAGUCGAAGAUACCAGCUGGCUGCAACUGUUUAUUAAAAACACAGCACUGUGCAAACACGAAAGUGGACGUAUACGGUGUGACGCCUGCCCGGUGCCGGAAGGUUAAUUGAUGGGGUUAGCGCAAGCGAAGCUCUUGAUCGAAGCCCCGGUAAACGGCGGCCGUAACUAUAACGGUCCUAAGGUAGCGAAAUUCCUUGUCGGGUAAGUUCCGACCUGCACGAAUGGCGUAAUGAUGGCCAGGCUGUCUCCACCCGAGACUCAGUGAAAUUGAACUCGCUGUGAAGAUGCAGUGUACCCGCGGCAAGACGGAAAGACCCCGUGAACCUUUACUAUAGCUUGACACUGAACAUUGAGCCUUGAUGUGUAGGAUAGGUGGGAGGCUUUGAAGUGUGGACGCCAGUCUGCAUGGAGCCGACCUUGAAAUACCACCCUUUAAUGUUUGAUGUUCUAACGUUGACCCGURAUCCGGGUUGCGGACAGUGUCUGGUGGGUAGUUUGACUGGGGCGGUCUCCUCCUAAAGAGUAACGGAGGAGCACGAAGGUUGGCUAAUCCUGGUCGGACAUCAGGAGGUUAGUGCAAUGGCAUAAGCCAGCUUGACUGCGAGCGUGACGGCGCGAGCAGGUGCGAAAGCAGGUCAUAGUGAUCCGGUGGUUCUGAAUGGAAGGGCCAUCGCUCAACGGAUAAAAGGUACUCCGGGGAUAACAGGCUGAUACCGCCCAAGAGUUCAUAUCGACGGCGGUGUUUGGCACCUCGAUGUCGGCUCAUCACAUCCUGGGGCUGAAGUAGGUCCCAAGGGUAUGGCUGUUCGCCAUUUAAAGUGGUACGCGAGCUGGGUUUAGAACGUCGUGAGACAGUUCGGUCCCUAUCUGCCGUGGGCGCUGGAGAAYUGAGGGGGGCUGCUCCUAGUACGAGAGGACCGGAGUGGACGCAUCACUGGUGUUCGGGUUGUCAUGCCAAUGGCACUGCCCGGUAGCUAAAUGCGGAAGAGAUAAGUGCUGAAAGCAUCUAAGCACGAAACUUGCCCCGAGAUGAGUUCUCCCUGACUCCUUGAGAGUCCUGAAGGAACGUUGAAGACGACGACGUUGAUAGGCCGGGUGUGUAAGCGCAGCGAUGCGUUGAGCUAACCGGUACUAAUGAACCGUGAGGCUUAACCUUACAACGCCGAAGRUGUU
rnacentral:rRNA from 1 species